GGAAUGUGAUGAGACAAGUCAGUGCAACAGCAGGUCCUGCUCAGAGGAGAGGGAGUCAAAGAUGCCUGUCACAUCCACCUGAGGAAUGGUCAGCAAGACAAUGCAGCAGCUAAGGAGGUGCCUCCUCGGGUCUCAUCAAAUAACCUGGCCCGCGGGACGGGGCAAGUGGCGCCCAAACGUGGGGCUCGAGGCACGGUGACCUGCCGGACGACGGACAACAGAAGGGGCCCCGGAGAGGAUCAGGGUAGAGACGCCCGGACCGCAUCACUCGUGCAACGCGGGAGAGUCUUGAGAAAUGCCUCCGACUUGGAAAAUAAAGGGAGCCAUGGACAUCUCAAUGGCAGGACCUGUUCAUCGCUGGCCUCGGAAAAUCAACCCCUGUUUCAUCAUUUGCUUACUACUCUUCCCCCUUCCCCUCUCCUGCAUCUCCAAGGAAAGCCCCAUGCUAUUAAAAAGCUUACCUGGUGAAUUUUCACAGUAACGGGGGAGGAGGUCUGGAGGGUUACUGCAAACCAUGCUCCUUAUUCCUGGUGGCUGUCACUCACUCCUGACUUCUGUCAGCUGGCUGCAGGAUUGGAUUCUUGGGAUAUACCUACUAUUGGCCAACACCAGUUAAAUGGUACAGAGGCCAAAUGAUUCCAAACUGCCAUCGAUUUCCUCGCAGUCCUAAAAACACUUGGACAAGCCCUUGUGGGAUAUUCCAUGAUAAUAACCCUGCCAUGAUGACUGCCCCAGGCUGUGUUAGUCCUACAGCUCGUUGUAGGUUAGCACAAUCUGACUUUUAUGUCUGCCCUAAGGAUGGCAGAAGCCGAGCUACGGCUGCUAGAUGUGGGGGAUUUGAGACCUUCUUUUGUGCUUGAUGGGGUUGUGAAACUACAGGGGCAGCUUACUGGGAACCAACUUCAUCUUGGGACCUUAUUUCAGUUACAAGGGGAUACAGUAAACCUAGCACGAAUAGACAUUUUUGCUUUAGCUCCUAUACUGGGAAAGCCCAUAAUCCCAGGCUAUCAUUACCUUUAAACAUAACCUUCACCCCUCAGGGUAGGGCAAAUCAAGAAUGGCCCUCAGGAAAAACAUGGGGACUCUGCUGGUAUCUUGAUGGCACAGAUAAAGGAGUCAUUUUCAAGAUCUUGCUAACAAUAGAAAACCUGUACCCAAAGCCAGUAGGACCCAAUGUAGUUUUCUCUGACCAAAAAGUUCCCUCCAAUCAUGAAAAGGUGCCAUCACCUCCUCCCCCCUCACCUCAUCCUCAUCCAUUUCCCUACCAUACAAACACCGUGAGUACAGACUCCAGUAACGGAACUCUCCUUACUCCUUUUGGAGGAACAGGAGAUAGAUUGUUUAAUUUGGUCCAUGGAGCUUAUCUGGCCCUAAAUGCCACAAAUCCAAACCAAACCUUGGGUUGCUGGCUCUGCCUUACCUCCAGUCCCCCUUAUUAUGAAGGAAUCGCCUUUCAGUCUACUGCCAAUAACCUCACUUCCCCGAGCAAUAGGUGUCAGACUAAGCCACAUAAACUAACACUCCCUGAAGUCUCUGGACAAGGUUCUUGUUUAGGAAAGAUUCCAUCGACCCAUAGUCACCUCUGUAAACAAACUCUGACACCUUAUAAAGGGAGCUAUUAUCUCGAAGCCCCCAACGGGUUCUACUGGGCCUGUAACACAGGAUUGAUGCCUUGCAUAUCUGCUCAGAUAUUUGAUGAUUCCCAUGAAUUUUGUGUGAGGGUCCAGUUAUGGCCUCAUGUUACUUAUCAUCAAGAAAGCUCAGUGAUGGAAUUCUUUGAGCAGAGAGGCAGAUACACUCGAGAACCUGUGUCUAUAACUAUUGCCCUAUUGUUAGGUAUUGGGGGCAUCACUGCAGGAAUUGGUACAGGAACUACUGCCCUCGUGCAGAGCAACCACCUUAUGCAGUUACAAAUGGCUAUGGCUACUGACCUAGAGGCCAUAGAAAGAUCCAUUUCUGCUCUGGAGAAAUCUUUAACCUCACUCUCUGAGGUUGUGUUACAAAACAGAAGAGGUCUGGAUUUACUAUUUUUAAAGGAGGGGGGAUUAUGUGCAGCCUUGAAGGAAGAAUGCUGCUUUUAUGCCGAUCACACUGGGGUAGUCAGAGAAUCAAUGGAUAAACUAAGAGAAAGAUUGGCACAAAGAAAACAUGAUUUUGAAAAUCAAAACAAUUGGUUUGGGGGUUGGGUAAAGGGGUCCCCUUGGCUUUCUACUCUGAUUCCCACCCUCCUAGCCCCCUUGAUCAUUUUCCUUCUCCUCCUCACCUUUGGUCCUUGGGCUUUUCAAUGACUAACACAAUUCAUCAAAAAUCAGAUCGAUUCGGCCCUAUCAAAAACUCUUUCAGUACACUACCAUCAGAUAGAAAUUCGAGAGGAAACUAUCGAAACAGGUGAAAGGCUCAGGUUCAGCGGCCUAUGAACCUAAAAAAACCCUACAACUAAAAGCUAGAGGGUACUCAAUGACGGGAAUAGUAUGGGGCCUGUGCUGGGACCACAACAUACAGAGGUCGCCAGAGACCGGCUCAACAUGGCACGUUGCCAGACACAGGACGCACCCCAUUUGGUCGAUUUAUGACCAAAGACUGCUUUGGCCAUUUUAUAAAAAGAAGGGGGAAUUGUCAGGAGCCAAGUAGCCUAACUGAUUCUCAUGGGAAAAAGCUGUGUACCUAACCUUCUGUUAACAGUUUCAAUAGCAACCAUUUUUCAACAAGACCACAGUAUGUACCUUUUGAUCAACUCCCUGAAACAUAAUGGUUUGCUGUAUGGUCCGUUGAUCAGGCCCUGGAACAAAGAAACCUUUUCCUGAACCCUACCUUACCCUAACUUCCUCCUAGUAACUUUCCAUACCCCUAUCUACUUCUCCUAGCCCCUAGCAUAUAUAAGCCUGAUUCCCCUUGCAAUAAACGAGACCUUGACGUGA